rnacentral:rRNA from 1 species
GACGAACGCUGGCGGCGUGCUUAACACAUGCAAGUCGAACGGAAAGGCCCUGCUUUUGUGGGGUGCUCGAGUGGCGAACGGGUGAGUAACACGUGAGUAACCUGCCCUUGACUUUGGGAUAACUUCAGGAAACUGGGGCUAAUACCGGAUAGGAGCUCCUGCUGCAUGGUGGGGGUUGGAAAGUUUCGGCGGUUGGGGAUGGACUCGCGGCUUAUCAGCUUGUUGGUGGGGUAGUGGCGUACCAAGGCUUUGACGGGUAGCCGGCCUGAGAGGGUGAGCGGCCACAUUGGGACUGAGAGACGGCCCAGACUCCUACGGGAGGCAGCAGUGGGGAAUAUUGCAGAAUGGGCGGAAGCCUGAUGCAGCAACGCCGCGUGCGGGAUGACGGCCUUCGGGUUGUAAACCGCUUUCGCCUGUGACGAAGCGUGAGUGACGGUAAUGGGUAAAGAAGCACCGGCUAACUACGUG